UGUGGUCUCAACACUGACCGUCUUUGCUUUCAAGUCAUUUACUCAUACGUUAGCUCAUGAAUUAAGAGGUUUGGUCUUAGGACAUUGUAUGGGGGGGUGCAUGUGCACCUGUGUGCCUGUAUGCAUACACACACACCCACACGCACACACACACACCACCACACAUGCACACACAUGCACACGAGCACACACCCACGCACACACACACACCACACACCACACACACCCACACGCACACACACACACACACACACCACCACACAUGGGCACACAUGCACACGAGCACACACCCACGCACACACGCCCAUGCGCACACACACACACACACACACACACACACGCACACACCCAUGCGCGCACACACACACAUAUGUGUUGAAUUGGAACUCCCCUUUGUUCUUUGGUUCUGUACUGUUUGUUUCUUCUAUUUUCACAGGACCUGCAGCCAUGCCUUCUGUGAAUGGCUUUCUCUCUGGCUCAAAGGCCACUUAGCUGUCCUUGUGGCCUUUCCCUGCUGAGUUCCUGAGGGUCUGAGAGAGCAUGCUGUGACAGCAUCCCCUGAAUUGUAGAAGCAGCAUAAAGAACUCUUCUCAUAUGACCUAACCCCACUGCAGCAGCACAUGGACCAUGGACUUCUGUGUGGAAUCGGGUGACAGCACGAAUCGUGAACAUCCACAUGGCCUCUAGUGUCAACACAGACCAAGGACCUCAGCAUGCUCUUCGGUGAUAGCACAGAACAAGGACAUCAACAUCUCCUUGGCCACAGCCCGGACCACAAACACCAUCAUGAUGUGGGCACAGGCCAUGGACACCAACAUGGCCCCUGGCGGUUGAAC
rnacentral:lncRNA from 1 species